AUAAUAAUUAGUUUUUUGAUUGGAAACUAGAAUGAAAGAUUGGAUAAGGAAUAACCUUUUUUUUUUUAAUAAUUUAAAAUUUAAAUUUUUAGUCAAAAAGCUAAAAUUUUUUAAAAAGACGAGAAGACCCUAUAGAUUUUUAUUUGAUUUUAAUUAAUUUAUUUGAUUAAAUUAAAUUUUAUUGGGGGGAUAAAAAAAUUUAAAAAACUUUUUAAUAUAUGAACAUUAAUUUAUGAAUUAAUUUAUAAAAAUUAUAAACUAUAUAUUUGAUAUUAUUAUAAAUAAAGAUUAAAAUACCUUAGGGAUAACAGCGUAAUUUUAAUUUUAAGAUCAUAUUUAAAUUAGAGAUUGC
rnacentral:rRNA from 1 species